CCUACGGGAGGCAGCAGUGAGGAAUAUUGGUCAAUGGACGAGAGUCUGAACCAGCCAAGUAGCGUGAAGGAUGACUGCCCUAUGGGUUGUAAACUUCUUUUAUAUGGGAAUAAAACGUUCCACGUGUGGGAUUUUGUAUGUACCAUAUGAAUAAGGAUCGGCUAACUCCGUGCCAGCAGCCGCGGUAAUACGGAGGAUCCGAGCGUUAUCCGGAUUUAUUGGGUUUAAAGGGAGCGUAGGUGGAUUGUUAAGUCCGUUGUGAAAGUGUGCGGCUCAACCGUAAAAUUGCAGUUGAAACUGGCAGUCUUGAGUACAGUAGAGGUGGGCGGAAGGCGUGGUGUAGCGGUGAAAUGCUUAGAUAUCACGAAGAACUCCGAUUGCGAAGGCAGUUCACUGGACUGCAACUGACACUGAGGCUCGAAAGUGUGGGUAUCAAACAGGAUUAGAUACCCGUGUAGUC
rnacentral:rRNA from 1 species